rnacentral:rRNA from 1 species
CCCUUAGAUGUCCGGGGCCGCACGCGCGCUACACUGAAGGAAUCAGCGUGGCUUUCUCCCUGACCCGAAAGGGUUGGGAAACCCGUUGAAUCUCCUUCGUGAUAGGGAUUGGGGCUUGAAAUUGUUCCCCAUGAACGAGGAAUUCCCAGUAAGCGCGAGUCAUAAGCUCGCGUUGAUUACGUCCCUGCCCUUUGUACACACCGCCCGUCGCUACUACCGAUUGAACGGUUUAGUGAGGGCCACGGAUUGGUCUCGGCCCGCUCUUUACCGGGCGGCGCCGUUGGUCGAGAAGACGCUCGAACUUGAUCGUUUAGAGGAAGUAAAAGUCGUAACA